rnacentral:rRNA from 1 species
AGAGUUUGAUCCUGGCUCAGGAUGAACGCUGGCGGCGUGCCUAAUACAUGCAAGUCGAGCGAGAUGUUAGCGCAUGAACCUUCGGGGGAUUAUGCUAACGGACAGCGGCGGACGGGUGAGUAACGCGUAGGCAACCUGCCCCUGACAGAGGGAUAGCCAUUGGAAACGAUGAUUAAAACCUCAUGACACCGUAGAAGCACAUGCUUCAUCGGUCAAAGAUUUAUCGGUCAGGGAUGGGCCUGCGUCUGAUUAACUAGUUGGUGAGGUAACGGCUCACCAAGGUGACGAUCAGUAGCCGACCUGAGAGGGUGAUCGGCCACAUUGGAACUGAGACACGGUCCAAACUUCUACGGAAGGCAGCAGUAGGGAAUCUUGCACAAUGGGCGAAAGCCUGAUGCAGCAACGCCGCGUGAAGGAUGAAGGCCUUCGGGUUGUAAACUUCUGUUCUAAGGGAAGAAAAAAAUGACGGUACCUUAGGAGCAAGCCCCGGCUAACUACGUGCCAGCAGCCGCGGUAAUACGUAGGGGGCAAGCGUUAUCCGGAAUUAUUGGGCGUAAAGAGUGCGUAGGUGGUUACCUAAGCGCAAGGUUUAAUUUAGAGGCUCAACCUCUACUUGCCUUGCGAACUGGGCUACUUGAGUGCAGGAGGGGAAAGCGGAAUUCCUAGUGUAGCGGUGAAAUGCGUAGAUAUUAGGAGGAACACCAGCGGCGAAGGCGGCUUUCUGGACUGUAACUGACACUGAGGCACGAAAGCGUGGGUAGCAAACAGGAUUAGAUACCCUGGUAGUCCACGCCGUAAACGAUGAGCACUAGGUGUCGGGGUCGCAAGACUUCGGUGCCGCAGUUAACGCAUUAAGUGCUCCGCCUGGGGAGUACGCACGCAAGUGUAAAACUCAAAGGAAUUGACGGGGACCCGCACAAGCAGCGGAGCAUGUGGUUUAAUUCGAAGCAACGCGAAGAACCUUA